ACCUCGAUGUCGGCUCUUCGCCACCUGGGGCUAUAGUAUGUUCCAAGGGUUGGGCUGUUCGCCCAUUAAAACAGUACGUGAGCUGGGUUCAGAACGUCGUGAGACAGUAA
rnacentral:rRNA from 1 species